CCUACGGGUGGCAGCAGUGAGGAAUAUUGGUCAAUGGGCGGAAGCCUGAACCAGCCAAGUAGCGUGCGGGAUGAAGGCCCUACGGGUCGUAUACCGCUUUUGCACGGGGAUAACACCCUCCACUUGUGGAGGUCUGCAGGUACCGUGCGAAUAAUGGCCGGCUAAUUCCGGGCCAGCAGCCGCGGUAAUACGGAAGGCCCGAGCGUUAUCCGGAUUCAUUGGGCUUAAGGGUAGCGUAGGCGGGCGUUCAAGGCAGCUGUAAAAUCGCGCGGCUCAACCGCGCCCCGCAUUUGAAACUGGACGCCUUGAGUUCACAACAGGCAGGCGGAAUUCGUGGUGGAGCGGUGACAUGCAUAGAUGUCACGAGGAACCCGGUUUGCGAAGGCAGCCUGACGGGGUGCGACUGACGCUGAGGUUCGAAGGUGCGGGUAUCAAACAGGAUUAGAUACCCCUGUAGUC
rnacentral:rRNA from 1 species